GUAGGUGGCAAGCGUUGUCCGGAAUUAUUGGGCGUAAAGCGCGCGCAGGCGGUUCUUUAAGUCUGAUGUGAAAGCCCACGGCUCAACCGUGGAGGGUCAUUGGAAACUGGAGAACUUGAGUACAGAAGAGGAAAGCGGAAUUUCACGUGUAGCGGUGAAACGCGUAGAGAUGUGGAGGAACACCAGUGGCGAAGGCGGCUUUCUGGUCUGUAACUGACGCUGAGGCGCGAAAGCGUGGGGAGCAAACAGGGAUUAGAUACCCUGGUAGUCCACGCGUAAACGAUGAGUGCUAAGUGUUAGGGGGGUUUCCGCCCCCUUAGUGCUGCAGCUAACGCAUUAAGCACUCGCCUGGGGAGUACGGCCGCAAGGCUG
rnacentral:rRNA from 1 species